rnacentral:rRNA from 1 species
UGGGGAAUUUUGGACAAUGGGGGAAACCCUGAUCCAGCCAUCCCGCGUGUGCGAUGAAGGCCUUCGGGUUGUAAAGCACUUUUGGCAGGAAAGAAACGUCGCGGGUUAAUACCCCGCGAAACUGACGGUACCUGCAGAAUAAGCACCGGCUAACUACGUGCCAGCAGCCGCGGUAAUACGUAGGGUGCAAGCGUUAAUCGGAAUUACUGGGCGUAAAGCGUGCGCAGGCGGUUCGGAAAGAAAGAUGUGAAAUCCCAGAGCUUAACUUUGGAACUGCAUUUUUAACUACCGGGCUAGAGUGUGUCAGAGGGAGGUGGAAUUCCGCGUGUAGCAGUGAAAUGCGUAGAUAUGCGGAGGAACACCGAUGGCGAAGGCAGCCUCCUGGGAUAACACUGACGCUCAUGCACGAAAGCGUGGGGAGCAAACAGGAUUAGAUACCCUGGUAGUCCACGCCCUAAAACGAUGUCAACUAGCUGUUGGGGCCUUCGGGCCUUGGUAGCGCAGCUAACGCGUGAAGUUGA